ACCCCAACCCAGGCCGGGCCCGAGGCCUCGUCCCCGUCCCCGGACAAGGCCGGAGCCGGGCCCGGGGCGGCGGCGGGGGCCCCCCAGCCCCACAGGGGAUCCGGGGGGCCGGGGCGAGGGAGGGCGUAUAAUAAACAGCAUCGCUGUCACGCAGGCAGGGCUGCCGGCUCCCAAAGCCUCCUCCCCGCGAUAACAAUCCAGAUAUUGAUGUGGUUUCGAUUACACUUCAAAAGUUACUGAACAUUUCUUUUCAACCCACUCUCAGCCUUCACAGCUAAAGAAAAGCACAAGCUAAUGGGACAAGUUCAUUCUGAUUCUCGGUAUAUAAUCAGGCUUCGUUUCAUAAAAUAAGUUUGUGAUCAUCUAUGCACUUUUGAAGCCCUCAGGGACCUAUGCUCACUUGCAAUUGCAACGUCCUAACAGGUUUAAAACAAUACAGUAAGAGGAUGGGCAAUAGGAGUGUUUGUGAUUACCCAAUGAUAUGGAAGUAUAACUGUAUCAAACCUCACUCUAUGUUAAAUGGAAUCUAGUCUGACAGCACUCUGGCUUGGGAACCAAAUUAAAAAGGAAAUAAAUAUUGAAGAUCCUGUCAGGACUGAGCCUGGGAUCUUGGCUCACACUAGCAAGCAAGUCUGGCUCUCCGCACUUGCUGAGCACUGCACGUGCCGACACCAGUAAAAUGGCAGCCCCAGAACCACUUAGCAUCAGUAAUGCACGGGUCAGCACCCUCGCUUGUUUCUGUCAUCCAAGAAAAACCCUCCCCUUCUCUGCACAAAAGUGAUUCCUUGCUUUGUAAAUGGCUUUUUGUCAAGAUACUACCGUCCCAUGAAGAGCACCAGAGCUUCGCUGCUUUGCUCUGCAGAUUACCUACAAAAUGGUGGCACUGAUACUAUAUUACAGGAACAUCUUUUGGAACCAAGACUAGAUACUCCUAUCAAUUUAAAAUGCAAGUUUGGAGGAAAAAAAGAAAGAGGAUUUACAUGUACAAAAACACGUGAGAGAAGCUUUCAUUACAUAGAAUGUAACAGACACCACUUCUCAUUUCAUUCACUGAGGACUUCUAGCAAUAAGCAACAUCUGCUAUCGUCAGCCCACCUAAUUUUCCCAAAGAAAGCUAGCACAUCGUCCUUUUUUUUUUUUUUUUUUUUUUUUGGUCAGACAACUUUUGCCAAUUUCCUUAGGUAUAUACUCCAUGGAUAAAUAGAUCUGUCUGACAUUUUUGUUAUGAUUUAAAGCAAGUUCUCAAUUUAAAUUUCAUCCAACUUACAACCCAACUGUGUGAAUCUGCAUCACACUAAAUAUUUGUUCUUUAUACCUAUCCCAUAUACACUUGUAGAAUUCCACCCUGUAUGUUUAACCCUCCUGACUCUUUUUCCAUAGCACAGACUUCAGUUUUUGCUACUUUGUUGAGCUCCCUGCAGUUUAUGAGAACUAAAAUAUAUUUCAGUAUACUCCAAGUAUAAUCACCAAAGGUGUUGGGCUGCUCCAGAUGGAGUAAAUUCAUAAAAUACUCGUUGAAGACUUAGCCAUACAAUUAAGCUUAAACUGCAUGUUGAUAUUAUAUGAUAAGAGUUUAGAUUAAGCACCUUUUUUUUUUUUUCUUGAAAAUUUCAACCUAUUCCAAGUUGAGUAAAGGCCUGAAUCCCACCUGCCUGUAGGGAGGCAUUAGGAGGGCCCCUGAGGCAUCUUCAGGGAAGGGCUUCGGCCAUUUUCUUCUUCCUGACACUUCAAGAGGAGAAGGUACAGCUGGAGGAGGGACAGAACAUGGAAACCCUUCACUGCGAGUUAGUAGAGUUGGGAGGACACAGAGGGCAUGGGGAAGACAUUCACCAAGCGGCAGUGCCCUUAAAUGCCUGUACCUGCGUACCCAGGUCUGACAGUGAGGCCCACCUGAGGGUUACUCUGGACAAAGUAGACUUGGCCCGCGUUUCAACCUGCACGUGGCCAGCCCUGUGGCCUGCCAUGUUUUCUUCUGCCACGUGUUUAAGGUCCUCAGUUGUGGUGGAGGUCAAAGCUGUCCUGCUACACUACACACUGACAGACAGACACACUGCUGAGACUACUCCUUCACGGCAGUCUUUGAAAGCCUGAGCCCUUGAACAAAAGAUUUUCCAUUCAUAUGAAAUUUCUGCCCACUGCAAGCAUAUUUGUUUUUUUGCAAAUUCUGCUGUUUCUACACCAAAGUUUAAAAAUGCUUGAGACUAAAGUAAAUCUAUAAAGUUAUUAAAAUAAGGGAAAGGUGCCUAUAAGACGCAUACACUUUUUCCAGUCAUAUCUCACAAAAAAAAAAAAAUUCUUACAAAGUAACAGUGUCACUAGAGUCGUUUAAUAAACACAAUAAAUAGCAAAAAACAUUUCUCAUGAGAAGAAAAAAGGCCUUGCUGUUUGCUGUAUCCAGAAAACAUCUGACGUUUUGCAUAUUUUGAGCUUUCAAUUAAGUAGAGAAAAAUUUGGUGUGGAUGUGACAGAGUAAACAGCACUGACCAAAUAGCUCCAACCUUCCCCAUUAAAAAACAUGUUUAAAUGCUAGCCCUAGAUGAUUCAUUUGGCAAAGUGCUUAUUAGUAAAAUAAUUUAGCAAAAUUCUUGUCUCCUGCGUAAGAGACUAACGAGGAUAGAGAUGGGAAAGACAGAGAUGGGCCGCAACUUGCCUUUCCCAGCUCCACUACACAUGAGGUUACACCUAAAUCCAUGAUGGCUCCUCAAUAAGUGGGCUGGUUUUUGUUCAUGCUGAACAUGUAUGCUCUUACUGAGCUCUGGAGGUAUGAGAACUUUUGAGAAUACCCAGACAAAAAGCUUUGUUCCAGAGGCCAAGCCUGAAUUUAGGAGUUUAACUUAACACCUAUUGUGCUGAAAAUGUUGGCUGGUGCUGAUACCACUAAACUCCCACUUAGAUCUUCUCUGUGGGGAGACUAUGUUAUGAUUUUUACUGUUAAAGAACACAAAGGCCACAAGUUUGAAUACAGUUUCUAGACAAGACCACAGAAUACAUCCCAUUAAUUACCAGAAUCCUUAUGUGUAUAUCCAUAUUGUUUAUUUGGGGUCCGAUACCAAAACCUGACCUCCUUUUAAACAGUCACAGCCUGAGAACACAAGUAAGCAGAGUAUUUACAACCCAGGUUCUGCAGCAAGUUACAUUACCUCAUUACUGUCUCCCUCUGUGGAGCUUAAUAAAGCAAGUUUUGGCUAGAACUGGACUGAAUCUCUCUCUUGCGGGUGCAGUCUACCACCUGCAGCUGAAAAUGUUUAAUUGUCCUUGUAAUAAUUGACGAAAACAUCUUCAAAACUGGCCAAAAAGCGGUGGGGCGGAGUGAAACAGCUCAGUAAGAUGGAAUUGAAAUUAGCCAAUACUUCCAUGCGAUGGUACCACACAGUCAAAUCAACCGCGAUGUGGAUUUAAAAGUUUUAGCCGGCUACUGAAUUACAGGCCACUAGUCCACAUGCCGCUCACAACUUUAUUAAGAACUUUUAGUAACUGAGAACAGUCCAAAGCACGAGUAGUUGUGAUAAGAGACGGAAUUAAGUAAAGACUCAAAAUCCUACAGCCAAUUGUGGCUAAGCGGCAGCUUUAGCAGCUAAUAGAGAGGUGCUUUGGACAGUCUCGGGCAAUGCAGCUAGGUGAGUAAGCAGAACGGAGACAUUUCUGAGAAAGGCGGCACACUAACGAGGCCAAACUUCAAUCACAGCAUAACUUGCGGGAUGAAAAUCACUCUUCAUGCAUGUCACUUACCCUAAAGGGCCCCUUAGGGCAACUCUUGUUAAUGGCACUGUCAAAAUAAUUAUAAGAAGAGAGUGCACGUGUGUGUGUGUGCGCACACGAACUGUUACUCUUUAAACAAAAAGCACUGGACAGUAAAGCUCAAUUUUGCUAUUCAACAAUGUGCUUGCAGAUACAUUAGCUUGCAAUGCAAUUAAUCUCGCUUGUUAACAACAGGUGUGUGUUGACAGACAGCUUGGUCAAACUGGGGAAUAUAUUUAGCUCCUCUUUUCUUUUACUGUUCAAUUAGGAAAAGAAAAUGAGAAAUACAAAUUCAGGAAUGAAAAAUGUCACCCUAUCAUUAUCUUACAGUUAUUUACUUUUGACCCUGAAAUAAAUUAUAGUGCUACAAUU